AGAGCGAACGCUGGCGGCAGGCCUAACACAUGCAAGUCGAGCGCCCGUAGCAAUACGGGAGCGGCAGACGGGAUAGUAACACGUGGGAACGCGCCCUUCGGUUCGGAAUAACUCAGGGAAACUUGAGCUAAUACCGGAUACGCCCUUACGGGGAAAGAUUUAUUGCCGAAGGAACGGCCCGCGUCCGAUUAGCUAGUUGGUGAGGUAAUGGCUCACCAAGGCGACGAUCGGUAGCUGGUCUGAGAGGAUGACCAGCAUCACUGGGACUGAGACACGGCCCAGACUCCUACGGGAGGCAGCAGUGGGGAAUAUGGACAAUGGGCGCAAGCCUGAUCCAGCAAUGCCGCGUGUGUGAAGAAGGCCUUCGGGUUGUAAAGCACUUUUAUCGGGAACGAAUACUACUGGUUAAUAACGGUGGGCUGACGGUACCGAGAAUAAGCACCGGCUAACUCGUGCCAGCAGCCGC
rnacentral:rRNA from 1 species